rnacentral:rRNA from 1 species
UACGUAGGGGGCAAGCGUUGUCCGGAUUUAUUGGGCGUAAAGAGCGUGUAGGCGGCCUGGAAGGUCAGCUGUGAAAACUCGAGGCUCAACCUCGAGACGUCGGUUGAAACCACCUGGCUAGAGUCCGGAAGAGGAGAGCGGAAUUCCCGGUGUAGCGGUGAAAUGCGCAGAUAUCGGGAAGAACACCCGUGGCGAAGGCGGCUCUCUGGGACGGUACUGACGCUGAGACGCGAAAAGCGUGGGGGAGCGAACAGG